rnacentral:rRNA from 1 species
CGGCGAGCGAAAAGAAAAUAGUUCAGCACUAAGUCACUUUGUCUUUAUGGCAAAUGUGAGAUGCAGUGUAUGGAAUGUCAAAUUUCUAAUAUGAGAAAUUAACGAUUUAAGUCCUUCUUAAAUGAGGCCAUUUACCCAAAGAGGGUGCCAGGCCCGUAUAACGUUAAUGAUUAUUAGAUGGCAUUUCCAAAGAGUCGUGUUGCUUGAUAGUGCAGCACUAAGUGGGUGGUAAACUCCAUCUAAAACUAAAUAUAACCAUGAGACCGAUAGUAAACAAGUACCGUGAGGGAAAGUUGAAAAGAACUCUGAAUAGAGAGUUAAAUAGUACGUGAAACUGCUUAGAGGUUAAGCCCGAUGAACCUGAAUAUCCGUUAUGGAAAAUUCAUCAUUAUGAUUUUAAUAUUUAUAAUAUUAUAAUAAUGGUGUGCAUUUUUUCUAUAAAGGACAUUGUAAUCUAUUAACAUAAAUUAAUUUAUCAUAAGAUCAUUUGCGUAAGUUUAUUCAAAUUAUUUUGCUUGCAUUUUAAUAUCGAAUAAAUGCUUUUGAUUUGAUAAAGUGUUGAUAGAUUUAUUAUAUACAGUGCUUAAAUAUUUAUAUUUUAUAAUAGCAUAUUAAUCAAUGAUUUUUAUGUUCAUUAUAUGCACUUGUAUGAUU